ensembl:lncRNA
GGUUGAGUCAGGCUCCUCUCUCCCUCAUUCCCUGAGCUAUAGCCUCACUGGUCUUAUUUCAGUUUCUCAAAUGUGCAGAGCUCCUUCCCAUCUGAAAGCAUCCAUGUAAGCUGGUUCACAUUAUGUGGCUUCCUCUUCCUCUGAGUCUUCAGGCAUCCUAUACUUCUCUGUGAUGGCCCUUAUCAUGCCCUCCAGCUUCUGGAAUUGUAGUCAUCAGUCACCUGAAGAAAGGCUGAGUCACUGAGUCAUCGCCAGAGAUCGCCCAGGGCAACCGGGUAUAGAGUGCCUGGUUUGGAAAGGUCAGUGCCUCCCACACCCACCGACAAGGCUUGUUCAGUUGCUUGUGGGACCUGACCCGAGAUGGAAACUGGGCCCAUGGCAGAGAAGAUCUGGAGUCCUAACCACCGGACUAGCGGGGAAUUCCUGAAAACUGCUUUUCUGAAUUUAGAGGCCGAUUCUCACUCUAGAAGAGGGAACAUUGUCGUAAAGCUCUCAGCUGAGGGAGUCUGUAGGCAAUCCUGCCUUUCCUUUGUUUGAAUGGAAUGCCUGUUUACUUCCUGGGAGCCUCCUUCUGCCAUUAUUUUGGUUUCUGAUGAGCUGAUUUGACCACCUAAGAGAGCUAAGAACGAGAUACCAGGAAUAAUGCUGCUAGAGCUACCAAGGUGCAAAAGAGGAUGCACCCAUAGAGAUGCGGAAAUGCAGGCUUUUGUGAAGCCUUCAAGGGAAUUCAGUGAAGCUCUGAAGAUGAUGAGAUGGUUGACCAGUCACUGUGUGAACUAUAGUUGCGAGAAGCAAUGCCAGUGAAUGAGGAUCAUGGCUUCAGGGAAUUUAAAGAGAAGGAAGGAAGAGUUACCACUAAUGUGUAAAGAUGGGUAACAAGUUUCUAUAGAGACCAAAUGUGGUGCUGAUCCAGCUGGCACUCUCAUUUCCAGUUCGGGGGAAUUAUGAAUAGUCAGUCAGUUCAGUCAUUUCGGUUGCUCAGUCACUCAGUCUUGUCCGACUCUUUGUGACCCCAUGAAUCGCAGCACGCCAGGCCUCCCUGUCCAUCACCAACUCCCGGAGUUCACUCAGACUCAUGUCCAUCGAGUCAGCGAUGCCAUCCAGCCAUCUCAUCUUCUGUCGUCCCCUUCUCCUCCUGCCUCCAAUCCCUCCCAUCAUCACAGUCUUUUCCAAUGAGUCAACUCUUCUCAUGAGGUGGCCAAAGUACUGGAGUUUCAGCUUCAGCAUCAUUCCCUCCAAAGAAACCCCAGGGCUGAUCUUCAGAAUAAACCCCUCACAAACAUUUGCAUAUAGGAUUUUGCAAGAACAUAAGGUAUCCUUUGGCUUCCUGAUGGCUCAGUAGUAAAGAAUCCACCUGCCAAUGCAGGAGAAAGUGAAAGUGAAAGUCUCUCAGUCAUGUCCAACUCUUUGUGACCCCAUGGACUAUACAGUCCAUGGAAUUCUCCAGGCAAGAAUACUGGAGUGGGUAGCUGUUCCCUUCUCCAUGGGAUCGUCCCAACCCAGGAAUCCAACCAGGGUCUCUUGCAUUGCAGGCACAUUCUUUACCAGCUGAGCCACAAGGGAAGCCCAAGAAUAUUGCAGUGGGUAGCCUAGCCCUUCUGCAGGGGAUCUUCCUGACCCAGGAAUCCACCUGGGGUCUCCUGCAUUGCAGACAGAUUCUUUACUAGCUGAGCUACCAGGGAAGCAAGGGUUCAGUCCCUGGGUCGGGAAGAUCCCUUGGAGAAGGAAAUGGCAACCCAUUCCAGUAUUCUUUCCUGGGAAGUCCUAUGAACAGAAGGUGCUUGGUGGGCUAUAGUCUAUGGAGUCCCAAAAAGAGUUGGACAUGACUUAGUGACUAAACAACAAGAAGCCUUGCCGGGAUCUUGUGUGGACUCAAGGGAGCUAAUGAAUGAAGAGUAUUUUAUAGGGUGCUUGGAAAGGUUAAGGCACUCAACGAAUGGUAGCUGUUGUUUUAUUAAUUGUUUAAGGGGCUUGCGCCAUGAAGUAUAGUAAAGCAGCCUUUGAUAAAUUCAGAUCAGGUAAGGUCAAAGGAGAAAGGCAGAACUGUGCUUUGGAUGGACACUCUGUUCCAAGGGUAGACUAGCCUUCUGAGCUGCAGAAGUUAGGGAUGAAUGAUUUGGAUGUGGGAUCAGACUCCUCCUCCUUGGUCACCUUUCUCUCUAAAAUGCCAACCCCAAGCUGGGCUGCUGACUAGGAGGCAACCAUGCAGAUCCAGGUCUGUCUCUUACUCUCCAGCUCUUCGACUCCUGCCAAGGGCGAGAGGCAGUCCUGGCAGCCUGGGGAGCUGACAGAAAGUUCUCUCAUGCCAAAACCAGUAUGUCAAGACUGGAAGAGGUGUUUGUUCCUUUAAAUGCAGGGACACCAACUCAAGGCCACACUAAUCGUGAAGAAUCAAACAUGGCACAACCAAAGGAGCUGGUAAAGCUCUGGUAACUGGCUCCCAAGAAAUGCAGAUCUCCAGUCUGCCUGUCAAAGAUUGCCAAACAGUCAUCUUAAGGAAGCCCACUGAGGACUUCCCUGGGGAACAGUGGAUAAGAAUCCACCGGCCAAUGCAGAGGACACAGGUUCCAUCCCUGUUUGGGGAAGAUUCCACAUGCAUUCCACAAGGCAUGCACCACAACAAGUGAGAAAUGGAAACUUUCCUGCCGUAUCAGUAAACAAGGUGGUCACAAUCCCCAGCAAUCCCAGUCCUCCAGAUGCGAAUUCCUGAGCCCUAAGGGCACCCAGGAAGGAGAGGAACACUUGCAAUUCAGCAGCCAUUAGGCUGUAGCCACUUCCUACGGUAAACCCUGAGGAAUUUAAGAUGUAAAAAAUUCAUGAUGCUGGCCCCACAUAGCUGAGAUGCAAAUGAAAGGAAUGAUUCUGUGAGUUCAGACCCUUGCAUCUUCCAAUACAUACAAACGUGCUGAAUUCCUUACCUGGGAUAUCUGACUUUCUUUACUUCACAAAAGUACUUCUGAUGUUCAGACUACCUGCCCUUUGCUGCAAACUUCUAUAUAACCUGAUUCAUCCCCCUGCCUUUUCGGAGCACUUCUCUCAGGGUUGCUUGAAAUACUGUCUCCUGAGCUUAAGUUUUUUUUACAAGGAUGCAGUCUAGGUGUUAAUGACUGACUGAGGCUGCUCUGCCAUCUGAAGUUCAACUGGGGAAGGAUCCACUUCAAGCUCACUCACCUGGCCAUUGGAAGGAUUCAGUUCUUCAAAGGCUGUUGGCCAGGGGCCACCUUCAGCCCUUGACAAUUGGGCCUCUUCAGGGGGCAGCUCACGAACAUGACAAUGGGCUUCAUCAGAGCAAGCAGUGGGAAAAACCAGAACAAGUGCUGGCAAGAUAGAAGUGCC